AAGAAAUUAGUUAAUAAAUAACAUUAGUAUGUCAUACUAAAAUAAUUAAAAACUUAAUAUUUCUUU
rnacentral:tRNA from 1 species